rnacentral:tRNA from 1 species
GGGCUGUUAGCUCAGUUGGCUAGAGCGCCUGCUUUGCACGCAGGAGGUCGCAGGUUCGACUCCUGUACAGUCCA